GACGAACCGUGCGAACGUUAUUCGGAAUCACUGGGCUUAAAGCGCGUGUAGGCGGACGGGGACGUCGGUCGCUGAAAUCCCCCGGCUCAACCGGGGAACGGGCGCCGAAACGCCCCGUCUCGAGGGACGUAGGGGGACCUGGAACUUCCGGUGGAGCGGUGAAAUGCGUUGAGAUCGGAAGGAACGCCCGUGGCGAAAGCGAGGUCCUGGACGUCUUCUGACGCUGAGACGCG
rnacentral:rRNA from 1 species